UUCCUGCAUCUCUUCGCUGCCGCGAGCGGCGCGGCGAUCCUCGAGAGGUCUGUGGGAUUCCCUCGCUGAAUCCUAAAUGGUCUGCCCGCCCCCGGCCUGCGCCCCUGGAGAGGUCCGGUUAGGUAGAUUUCCCGGCAGGUCCUGUGCUGUGAAGCCCUCGGAGCCCAGACUUUAAUAUAAAAACAAUGAAGAAGUUAAGGCUUAAGGAACUAGAGAGUCGCCUGCAGGAAGUGGAUGGAUUCGAAAAACCCAAGUUACUUCUAGAACAGUAUCCCACCAGGCCGCACAUUGCAGCAUGCAUGCUCUAUACAAUCCAUAAUACAUAUGAUGACAUUGAAAAUAAAGUGGUUGCAGAUCUAGGAUGUGGUUGUGGAGUACUUAGCAUCGGGGCCGCCAUGUUAGGAGCAGGGUUGUGUGUUGGAUUUGACAUAGAUGAAGAUGCAUUGGAAAUAUUUAAUAGGAAUGUGGAAGAAUUUGAAUUAACAAAUGUUGAUAUGAUCCAGUGUGAUGUGCACUCAUUAUCAAACAGAAUGUUCAAAUUAUUUGAUACAGUAAUUAUGAAUCCUCCCUUUGGAACCAAAAAUAACAAAGGGACAGAUAUGGCUUUUCUGAAGACUGCUUUGGAAAUGGCAAGAACAGCGGUAUAUUCUUUACACAAAUCCUCAACUAGAGAACAUAUUCAAAAGAAAGCUGCAGAAUGGAAAAUCAAAAUAGAAAUUAUUGCAGGUAAGCUUUAUCUCAACCCUAAUUAUUUUUUUUUCCAAGAUAGGGUUUCACUCUGUACAUCAGGCUGUCCUGGAACUCUUGAGAUCCACCAGCCUCUGCCUCCCAAUGCUGGGAUUAAAGGCAUGAGCCACCAUCACCCAGGUACAAACCUAAUUAUUUAAAAGGCCAAAUACUAUGGAAUGUUAUCCAGUUCCGUAGUAGGUUGGAAAUGCACUAAACACAGGAUAAACAUUAACCAAGGUUUACCUGUGUCUAUCUCUAUUUAUGCAUUUUCUAAACAAACAAACAAACAAAACAAUGGUAUUUGGUUGUCCAGGCCCUGACAAGUGAGUAAAAACAUGGGCUUGGACAUGAUAGGACUGCUGUGAAAUCCACUAUUUGAAAAUGCCAGCGAUUGCCUGGUGGCGGUGGCACACACCUUUAAUCCUAGUACUCAGGAGGCAGAGGCAGGCGGAUCUCUGUGAGUUCGAGGCCAGCCUGGUCUACAGAGUUAGUUCUAGGAUAGCCAAGGCUACACAAGGAAAAGAAAAUGCCAGCGAUUUAUGCCUGAUACAUAGCUGAACACCACCAACCUUUCCUUUUCUGUUGGGAGACAGAAUAUAAACAUCCACACUGGAAUAAGAGAUGCCUUUUUUUUUUCUUUUCCGUUUUUACUACGUUGAGUAAGUUUGCCAACAUCCCAACAGGAAAACUAUUAGAAAGAAAAGUCACCAAGUAAUUUUGAGAAGCUUGAAAUAAACAAAGACUGGGGUAUGGUACUGUGUUUGCUCAGUAUGCACAAGAGAAAACGGGGGAAAUGUGCAAUGAAAGAACAUUUUUAUUUUUCUGGAGGCAUGGUUUCUCUGUGUGUCUCUGGCUGUCCUAAAACUCACUAUAUAGACUAGGCCUUGAACCUGCCUCUGCUUCCCAGUCCUGGGAUUAAAGACACAUGCCACCAUGCCUAGCCAUGAGUUUACCAAGAAUUGGUCCUAUGGUGUUAAAGCACCUACCUGAAUUGUUCAUAAAGACCUGUCUUCCUGCCGUAUUAGGUGUUGUCGUCCCUUACGUAAACAGAGCACGUUAUAACAGUCCCAAUAGUAUACUAAUCCAGACCUUUGUUACGCCACAAGUGGUCUUCACACCAUCAGCUUUAACCUCAGAGCCUAUACAGAAUUAGUUGGCAGCUAAACAAGAUUCCUAGAUGACCUGAUCACACAUUAUAGAAAGCUAUGACCUGUAGGGUUAGAAUCUAUAAAACAUAUCACUAUAGUGAAUAUAUAGUCAAUAGUGAAAGUAGAGAAUUAAUGUUAUAAAUUAGAAACAAUGUGAAAACUGAGCCUUCAUUUUGUUAGUGGAAAAAAUAACUAAGACUAACCAUUAUUAAAUUGUGGACAGGAAAUUUCUGAAGCAUGAAUAUCGUAAUAUUGUCAGCUAUAGAUACAUAUUAUUUUCAUAGGACUCCCCCUCCCCACUUGUUAAUUCUUUUAACUAUUCUCCAUAACCUUAAAUUUUGGUGUAAGUGAUCAAAACAGCAGGAACACCACACACAACUUGACACAUAAGUAUUUGAGAUAUGUCCAAAGUGAUGACUAUAAAAAUGUUGUGCGUACAGCACUUAACACUUUAAAGGUGAAUGUUUGGCUUGUAUUUUUACAGAGCUUCGAUAUGACCUGCCAGCAUUAUACAACUUUCAUAAAAAGAAAUCAGUGGACAUUGAAGUGGACCUAAUUCGCUUUUCUUUUUAAAAGCUUCCGAAGACAAAAAGCAGCUUAAAAUCUAACUAAGAUGAAUAAAAAUGUGGUUUACUAAACUACUUGUCUCUA